rnacentral:rRNA from 1 species
AGUGAACGCUGGCGGUAGGCCUAACACAUGCAAGUCGAACGGCAGCACAGUAAGAGCUUGCUCUUACGGGUGGCGAGUGGCGGACGGGUGAGGAAUACAUCGGAAUCUACUUUUUCGUGGGGGAUAACGUAGGGAAACUUACGCUAAUACCGCAUACGACCUACGGGUGAAAGCAGGGGAUCUUCGGACCUUGCGCGAUUGAAUGAGCCGAUGUCGGAUUAGCUAGUUGGCGGGGUAAAGGCCCACCAAGGCGACGAUCCGUAGCUGGUCUGAGAGGAUGAUCAGCCGCACUGGAACGGGGACACGGUCCAGACUCCUACGGGAGGCAGCAGUGGGGAAUAUUGGACAAUGGGCGCAAGCCUGAUCCAGCCAUACCGCGUGGGUGAAGAAGGCCUUCGGGUUGUAAAGCCCUUUUGUUGGGAAAGAAAAGCAGCAGGUUAAUACCCCGCUGUUCUGACGGUACCCAAAGAAUAAGCACCGGCUAACUUCGUG